UCCUACGGGAGGCAGCAGUGGGGAAUCUUGCACAAUGGGCGAAAGCCUGAUGCAGCGAUGCCGCGUGCGGGAAGAAGGCCCUAGGGUUGUAAACCGCUUUCAGGAGGGAAGAAAAUGACGGUACCUCCAGAAGAAGGUGCGGCCAACUACGUGCCAGCAGCCCGCGGUGACACGUAGGCACCAAGCGUUAUCCGGAUUUAUUGGGCGUAAAGAGCUCGUAGGCGGUUUGGUAAGUCGGGUGUGAAAACUCUGGGCUCAACCCAGAGAGGCCACUCGAUACUGCUAUGACUAGAGUACGGUAGGGGAGCGGGGAAUUCCUGGUGUAGCGGUGAAAUGCGCAGAUAUCAGGAGGAACACCAGCGGCGAAGGCGCCGCUCUGGGCCGUAACUGACGCUGAGGAGCGAAAGCAUGGGUAGCAAACAGGAUUAGAUACCCUGGUAGUCCAUGCCGUAAACGUUGGGCACUAGGUGUGGGUCUCAACCAACGAGAUCCGCGCCGUCGCUAACGCAUUAAGUGCCCCGCCUGGGGAGUACGGUCGCAAGACUAAAACUCAAAUGAAUUGACGG
rnacentral:rRNA from 1 species